AUAUGACAAUUUUUCAGCAGUACAUAUUUUUUUACCCUUUGUAUUUUGUUUAUACAAUCAUAAAGUGAUUAUGAACCAGAGAUUUCUAUUAAAUAAUGUAAGCUAAAUAUUUCUAUUAAGUACAUCCUCAAUUAUAUAAAUCAAUCAAACAUGUAAUGAGUAACAAACCUUGACAUUAAAUAGUUUAGAAAGAUAUGUAUUGAACAUCAAAAUUAAUUAAAUAUAUACUUAUAUCCUUAAGAACAUAAAAUGUCAUCUUCUAUAUUCUGAUAAUUAAACAAUUAACAUAAGUUAUACAGAUUAAAAAAUAUGCUAAAAUACUAAUUAUAAGUAGAAAAUGAAAAAGAAAAAAAGAAAAUAGAAUAAUUACAAGAAAAUGAAAAAGAAAAAAAACAAAAUAGAAUAACUACAAGAAAUUUAAAAUGAGACCGUAUGGUAUAAAGGAAACCAACUCAAUCAGUUUUCCAGUGUUACACUAGCACCACGUUUAUUAUUGUGAGAUCCUCAUAAUCCUAACAAAAAUUUCAAUCUCAUCAAAACAAUACGAAAAACCCUAUCAUAAUCAUUGGUGAUGCAAGAAUAAAAUUGAAAAUAACAGGAAACACAAAUGAAUAGAGUUAAAAAAAUAAACAAGUUAGAGAUGUAUAACCUUCAAAAUAUUAACCUAUAUCAUAAAUCACUUGAUCCAUACAUUUGAUAGAUAAGAAAGAAAAUUACUCAUAAAAGAUAGGAAAAAAAAGGAAAAUAUGACCAUUUUUCAGCAGUACGUAUUUUUUUACCCAUUGUAUUUUGUUUAUACAAUCAUAAAGUGAUUAUGAACCAAAGAUUUCUAUUAAUUAAUGAAAGCUAAAUAUUUCCAUUAAGUACAUCCCCAAUUAUAUAAAUCAAUAAAACAUGUAAUGAGUAAAAAUCAUUGGCAUUAAAUAGUUUAGAAAGAUAUGUAUUGAACAUCAAAGUUAAUUAAAUAUAUACUUAUAUCCUUAAGAACAUAAAAUGUCAUCUUCUAUAUUCUGAUAAUUAAAAAAUUAACAUCAGUUAUACAGAUUAAAAAAUAUGCUAAAAUACAAAAAUUAAGUAGAAAAUGAAAAAGAAAAAAAGAAAAAAGAAUAAUUACAAGAAAAUCAAAAUCUAAAAAAGGAAAUAGUAUAAUUACAAGAAAAUGAAAAUGAGACCGUAUGGUAUAAAGGAAACCAACUCAAUCAGUUUUCCAGUGUUACGCUAGCGCCACCUUUGGUAUAAAGGAAAUCAAUCUUCUAUACGAAAAAUGAAAAUGAAAAUGAGACCGUAUGGUAUAAAGGAAAUCAAUCUUCUAUACGAAAAACCCUAUCAUAAUCAUUGGUGUGCAAGAAUAAAAUUGAAAAUAAGAGGAAACACAAAUGAAUAGAGUGAUAAAAUAAACAAGUUAGAGAUUUGUAAGCUUCAAAAGAUCAACCUAUAUCAGAAACUAAUUGAUCUGUACAUUUGAUAAAUAAGAAAGAAAAUUACUCAUAAAAGAUAGAAAAAAAAGGAAAAUUUGACAAUUUUUCAGCAGUACGUAUUUUUUUACCCAUUGUAUUUUGUUUAUACAAUCAUAAAGCGAUUAUGAACCAGAGAUUUCUAAUAAGUAAGGUAAGGUAAACAUUUUUAUUAAGUACAUCCUCAAUUAUAUAAAUCAAUCAAACAAGUAACGAGUAACAAACAUUGGCAUUAAAUAGUUUAGAAAGAUAUGUAUUGAACAUCAAAAUUAAUUAAAUAUAUACUUAUAUCCUUAAGUACAUAAAAUGUCAUCUCCUAUAUUCUGAUAAUUAAAAAGUUAUCAUAAGUUAUACAGAUUAAAAAAUAUGCUAAAAUACUAAUUAUAAGUAGAAAAUGAAAAAGAAAAAAAGAAAAUAGAAUAAUUACAAGAAAAUGAAGAAGAAAAAAAGAAAAUAGAAAAAUUACAAGAGAAAAAGAAAAAAAGAAAAUAGAAUAAUUACAAGAAAAUGAAGAAGAAAAAAAGAAAAUAGAAAAAUUACAAGAAAAUGAAAAUGAGACAGUAUGUAUUAAAGGAAACCAACUCAAUCAUUUUUCCAGUGUUACAUUAGCACCACCUAUAUUAUUGUGAGAUCCUCAUAAUCCUAGCAAACAUAUCAAUCUCAUCAAAACAAUAUGAAAACCCUAUCAUUAUCAUUGGUGACGCAAGAACAAAAUUGAAAAUAAGAGAAAACACAGAUGAAUAGGGUGACAAAAUAAAAAAGGUAGAGAUGUGUAACCUUCAGAAGAUCGACCUAUCUCAGAAAUCACUUGAUUUGUACAUUUGAUAGAUAAAAAUGAAAAUUACUCAUAAAAGAUAGAAAAAAAAAGAAAAUAUAACAAUUUUUCAGCAGUACGUAUUUUUUUACCCUUUGUAUUUUGUUUAUACAAUCAUAAAGUGAAUACGAACCAGAGAUCUCUAUUAAAUAAUGUAAGCUAAAUAUUUUCAUUAAGUACAUCCCCAAUUAUAUAAAUCAAUCAAACAUGUAAUGAGUAAAAAACAUUGACAUUAAAUAGUUUAGAAAGAUAUGUAUUGAAUAUCAAAAUUAAUUAAAUAUAUACUUAUAUCCUUAAGUACAUAGAAUGUCAUCUUCUAUAUUCUGAUAAUUAAACAAUUAACAUAAGUUAUACAGAUUAAAAAAUAUCUUAGAGUAAUUUUGGAUUGAGUUUCAUGUUCCCUUAUAUAUCAGCAUUUAUUUAGAAUUUAUUUUUAAGUAUAUUUUAAUAUAUUUUCAUACGUCUUAAGUUGAUAAGUAGUGGUGAAUUAUAGAUUAUGGAUUAUUAUAGGUAUUCCUAUAUUACUGGAUGGAUGGUUAAAAAUCUUAAUUAAAUUAGAUUAAAGGUAUGGACAAAGCAUGGACUAACUCCCAAGACAUUGGAAUCUAUUGAAGACUCAGUUGAAGCUGGAACCAAGCAUUUCAAUCAUUGUUGGGGAAAGAAAAGCCGGUAGAGUGAGAUGUUAUGGAAGAACUGUCACACCAUCAUUGUUGAAAAAAAUGAAGAAAUUUCUUUAAUGAAAAUGCAAUGAUGGUAAGAUUUCUGAAUGGUGCAAAGAUGGAAGCAAUGGAGGAACUUUUGAAAAAGCAUGUAUAUGCAACAAAAUCCACAUUUAAGUGAAGAGGAAGUAGAUGAUAAGAUGAGAGAAGCUUUGCACAAUGAUAAUAUUCCAACACCACACUCAUCGCGACAUCAACAUAUGCUCCUACUCUCAUCAAAAGGUACUAUAAUUGACAUUAAUAAAAUCAACAUUAUUUUAUAAGUGUUGAGUUGUUAUUUUAUAGUUGUUUAAUUUUUUAAACAUGCGGUGUUAGUUUUAUAAGUUACUCAUUAAGUUAGUAUAUAUUCAUGCUAGCUAGGUUGAACAUUGUGACAUAUGUUCCAAUGCACAUUUUCAUUAUGUUUUUAAAAAAUUAACAUUGUAUAUUGGUUUGAUGGUAAGAUUCAUGUAUAAAUUGCAUAGAUUCGAGUUUGAUUCUAAGCGUGCAAAGUUCGUUAGUGAGUAAUAUAUAACUAUCAAUUGUUGUGGAUUGAAUCAUUAUUGCAUGGAUGUUGUAGUCAUUGAAGCCUUGCAAUGCCGCUUUGAUUAUUGUAAACUUUGUUAUUGAUAAAUAUAUAAAGAAAUUCUUCAUAUUAAGAGGUUAGAAACAAAGAUGAUCCUGACAAUGAACAAAUGAUGAUCUUCAAGAUGACGAUAAUCUUCAAUAUAAUCAAGAUGAUGAUGAUCUGUCAAUAUGAAUCAAGAGUGAUGAUGAUCUUCAAUAUGAUCAAGAUGAUAAUGAUCUUCAAUAUGAUAGUUUUCAAGAUGAUGAUUCUCCAUGGACCUCAACACAAUGAAUUGAUAAAGACCGCCAUUGAUUUAAAUAUUGACGAUUGUGUUUUGUUUUAUGGAUUUACAUAAAGCCAACUAGCUAUAACUUUUAUGCUGUGAUUUAUUUUGAAAUAUUUUGUAUUUUUUGAAUUUCAAAGAGUUGAUUACACUUCAUCUUAUUAAUACUUUCAUAUUUAAAUAUGUGUUUUCAAUUUAAAAGUGUGUUUCUUCUAAUAAUAUUGAAAAAUAUCUAUUAGAUAAUGUGAAGGUAUAUGAUCAUAAAUGUAUCACCAUAUAAAGGAACAAAAAUCUCUAUCUAAAUUAGUAUCGUUUCAAUCUAGUGCCCACAGGACAAUGUUUAAAUACUAAUAAUGUUUGCUUUUCAAAGUCUUGACGUUAUAUAUAAUUUGAUUGUUUUUUGCAUCUAUAGACAACGGCUUUUUAUGCGUUGCCUUAAUCAAAAACCGUAGUAUAUUCCUUUGUUUUAGCGGCGGUUAUGUGUGUUGUGUAAAUGAAAUUAUAGAUUGAAGCUACGGUUUACAUCUGUUGGUUAUUAAUAACCGUUGCCUUUCACAUGUUUAGGGGACAGUAUUUUAAUGUUGCUGACUUGAAACCGCAGCUUAAAGCAGUUCAACUAAAACCGUGGACUUUGAUAUUUAAGGCGAUGGUGUUCGAGAUCCGUAGGUAGAAUCAAAAAAACCGCCGCUGCUAAAUGGAAUAAGCAAUGGCUGUUAUUCAACGCUUGAUAAAACCGUCCCCUAAGAGCAUUAAAGGCAACGGUUUUAUACCGUUAAUGGGGGGCGUUUUAUUCGUUGUUGCCUAAAAACCCAUGUUUUUGGUUGUAGUGACAUUAAAUAGUUUAGAAAGAUAUGUAUUGCACAUCAAAAUUAAUUAAAUAUAUACUUAUAUCCUUAAGAACAUAAAAUGUCAUCUUCUAUAUUCUGAUAAUUAAACAAUUAACAUAAGUUAUACAGAUUAAAAAAUAUGCUAAAAUACUAAUUAUAAGUUGAAAAUGAAAAAGAAAAAAAGAAAAUAGAAUAAUUACAAGAAAAUGAAAAAGAAAAAAAGAAAAUAGAAUAAUUACAAGAAAAUGAAAAUGAGACUGUAUGUAUUAAAGGAAACCAACUCAAUCAUUUGUUAGGAUUAUUGUGAGAUCCUCAUAAUCCUAACAAACAUCUCAAUCUCAUCAAAACAAUACGAAAACCCUAUCAUAAUCAUUGGUGACGCAAGAAUAAAAUUGAAAAUAAGAGGAAACACAGAUGAAUAGGGUGACAAUAUAAGAAAGGUAGAGAUGUGUAACCUUCAAAAGAUCAACCUAUAUCAGAAAUCACUUGAUUUGUACAUUUGAUAGAUAACAAUGAAAAUUACUCAUAAAAGAUAGAAGAAAAAAAAGAUGACAAUUUUUCAGCAGUACGUAUUUUUUUUACCCUUUGUAUUUUGUUUAUACAAUCAUAAAAUGAAUAUGAACCAGAGAUUUCUAUUAAAUAAUGUAAGCUAAAUAUUUUCAUUAAGUAAAUCCCCAAUUAUAUAAAUCAAUCAAACAUGUAAUGAGUAAAAAACAUUGACAUUAAAUAGUUUAGAAAGAUAUGUAUUGAACAUCAAAAUUAAUUAAAUAUAUACUUAUAUCCUUAAGAACAUAAAAAAUCCCCAAUUAUAUAAAUCAAUCAAACAUGUAAUGAGUAAAAAACAUUGACAUUAAAUAGUUUAGAAAGAUAUGUAUUGAACAUCAAAAUUAAUUAAAUAUAUACUUAUAUCCUUAAGAACAUAAAUUGUCAUCUUCUAUAUUCUGAUAAUUAAAAAAUUCACAUAAGUUAUACAGAUUAAAAAAUAUUCUAAAAUACUAAUUAUAAGUAAAAAAUGAAAAAGAAAAAAAAAAAUAGAAUAAUUACAAGAAAAUGACAAAGAAAAAAAGAAAAUAGAAUAAUAACAACAAAUUUAAAAUGCGACUGUAUUGUAUAAAGGAAACCAACUCAAUCAGUUUUCCAGUGUUACACUAGCACCACCUUUAUUAUUGUGAGAUCCUCAUAAUCCUAACAAGCAUCUCAUUCUUAUCAAAACAAUACGAAAAACCCUAUCAUAAUCAUUGGUGAUGCAAGAAUAAAAUUGAAAAUAAGAGGAAACACAAAUGAAUAGAGUGACAAAAUAAACAAGUUAGAGAUCUGUAACCUUCAAAAGAUCAACCUAUAUCAGAAAUCACUUGAUAUGUACAUUUGAUAGAUGAGAAAGAAAAUUACUCAUAAAAGAUGGAAAAAAAGGAAAAUAUGACAAUUUUUUAGCAUUACGUUUUUUUUACCCUUUGUAUUUGUUUUAUACAAUCAUAAAAUGAAUCAUUUUUCCAGUGUUACAUUAGCACCACCUGUAUUAUUGUGAGAUCCUCAUAAUCCUAACAAACAUCUCAAUAGGGUGACAAAACAAUAUGAAAACCCUAUCAUAAUCAUUGGUGACGCAAGAAUAAAAUUGAAAAUAAGAGGAAACACAGAUGAAUAGGGUGACAAAAUAAAAAAGGUAGAGAUGUGUAACCUUCAAAAGAUCAACCUAUAUCAGAAAUCACUUGAUCUGUACAUUUGAUAGAUAAGAAAGAAAAUUACUCAUAAAAGAUAGAAAAAAAAGGAAAAUAUGACAAUUUUUCAGCAGUACGUAUUUUUUUACCCUUUGUAUUUUGUUUAUACAAUCAUAAAGUGAUUAUGAACCAGAGAUUUCUAUUAAAUAUUGUAAGCUAAAUAUUUAUAUUAAGUAAAUCCUCAAUUAUAUAAAUCAAUCAAACAUUUAUUGAGUAACAAACCUUGACAUUAACUAGUUUAGAAAGAUAUGUAUUGAACAUCAAAAUUAAUUAAAUAUAUACUUAUAUCCUAAAGAACAUAAAAUGUCAUCUUCUAUAUUCUGAUAAUUAAACAAUUAACAUAAGUUAUAUAGAUUAAAAAAUAUGCUAAAAUACUAAUUAUAAGUAGAAAAUGAAAAAGAAAAAAAGAAAAAAGAAUAAUUACAAGAAAAUGAAAAAGAAAAAAUGAAAAUAGAAUAAUUACAAGAAAAUGAAAAUGUGACCGUAUGUUAUAAAGGAAACCAACUCAAUCAUUUUUCCAGUGUUACAUUAGCACCAUCUUUAUUAUUUUGAGAUCCUUAUAAUCCUAACAACCAUCUCAAUCUCAUCAAAAUAAUACGAAAACCCUAUCAUAAUCAUUGGUGACGCAAGAAUAAAAUUGAAAAUAAGAAGAAACACAGAUGAAUAGAGUGACAAAAUGAGAGAGUUAGAGAUGUGUAACCAUCAAAAGAUCAACCUAUAUCAGAAAUCACUUGAUCUGUACAUUUGAUAGAUAAGAAUGAAAAUUACUCAUAAAAGAUAGAAAAAAAAAGAUGACAUAUAUAUAAAUCAUAAAAUGAAUAUGAACCAGAGAUUUCUUUUAAAUAAAGUAAGCUAAAUAUUUUCAUUAAGUACAUCCCCAAUUAUAUAAAUCAAUCAAACAUGUAAUGAGUAAAAAACAUUGACAUUAAAUAAUUUAGAAAGAUAUGUAUUGAACAUGAAAAUUAAUUAAAUAUAUACUUGUAUGCUUAAGAACAUAAAAUGUCAUCUUCUAUAUUCUGAUAAUUAAACAAUUAACAUAAGUUAUACAGAUUAAAAAAUAUGCUAAAAUACUAAUUAUAAGUAGAAAAUGAGAAAGAAAAAAAGAAAAUAGAAUAAUAACAACAAAUUUAAAAUGAGAUCGUAUGGUAUAAGGGUAACCAAUUCAAUCAGUUUUCCAGUGUUACACUAGCACCACCUUUAUUAUUGUAAGAUCCUCAUAAUCCUAACAAACAUCUCAAUCUCAUCAAAACAAUACGAAAAACCCUAUCAUAAUCAUUGGUGAUGCAAGAAUAAAAUUUAAAAUAACAGGAAACACAAAUGAAUAGAGUGACCAAAUAAACAAGUUAGAGAUAUGUAACCUUCAAAAGAUAAACCUAUAUCAAAAAUUACUUGAUCUGUACAUUUGAUAGAUAAGAAAGAAAAUUACUCAUAAAAGAUAGAAAAAAAAAGGAAAAUAUGAAAAAAUUUCUGUUGUACGUUUUAUUUACCCUUUGUAUUUGUUUUAUACAAUCAUAAAGUGAUUAUAAAUCAGAGAUUUCUAUUAAAUAAUGUAAGCUAAAUAUUUUUAUUAAGUACAUCCUCAAUUAUAUAAAUCAAUCAAACAUGUAAUGAGUAACAAACUUUGAGAUUAAAUAGUUUAGAAAGAUAUGUAUUGAACAUCAAAAUUAAUUAAAUAUAUACUUGUAUCCUUAAGAACAUAAAAUGUCAUCUUCUAUAUUCUGAUAAUUAAAGAAUUAACAUAAGUUAUACAGAUUAAAAAAUAUGCUAAAAUAGUAAUUAUAAGUGGAAAAUGAAAAAGAAAAAAAGAAAAUAGAAUAAUUACAAGAAAAUGAAAAAGAAAAAAAGAAAAAAGAAUAAUUACAAGAAAAUGAAAAUGAGACGGUAUGUAAUAAAGGAAACCAACUCAAUCAUUUUUCCAGUGUUACAUUAGCCGUCCCUUUAUUAUUGUGAGAUCCUCAUAAUCAUAACAGACAUCUCAAUCUCAUCAAAACAAUAAGAAAAACUGUAUCAUAAUCAUUGGUGACGCAAGAAUAAAAUUGAAAUAAGAGGAAACACAAAUGAGUAGAGUGACAAAAUAAACAACUUAGAGAUGUGUAACCUUCGAAUGAUCAACCUAUUUCAGAUAUCACUUAAUCUGUACAUUUGAUAUAUAAGAAAGAAAAUUACUUAUAAAAGAUAGAAAAAAUGGAAAAUAUGACAAUUUUUCAGCAGUACGUAUUUUUUUACCCUUUGUAUUUUGUUUAUACAAUCAUAAAGUGAUUAUGAACCAGAGAUUUCUAUUAAAUAAUGUAAUCUAACUAUUUUUAUUAAGUAUAUGCUCAAUUUUAUAAAUCUAUCGAACAUGUAAAGAGUAACAAACAUUCAUUAAAUAGUUUAGAAACAUAAUUAUUGAACAUCAAAAUUAAUUAAAUAUAUACAUAUAUCCUUAAGAACAUAAAACGUCAUCUUCUAUAUUCUUAUAAUUAAACAAUUAACAUAAGUUAUAAAGAUAAACAAAAAUGCUAAUAUACUAAUUAUAAGUAGAAAUGAAAAAGAAAAAAAAGAAAAAAGAAUAAUUACAAGAAAAUGAAAAAGAAAAUAAGAAAAUAGAAUAAUUACAAGAAAAUGAAAAUAAGACCGUAUAAAGGAAACAUACUCAAACAUUUUUCCAGUGUUACACUAGCAUCAGCUUUGUUAUUGUGAGAUCCUCAUAAUCCUAACAAACAUCUCAAUCUCAUCAAAAAGUACGAAACACCCUAUCAUAAUCAUUGGUGACGCAAGAAUAAAAUUAAAAAUAAGAGGAAACACAAAUGAAUAGGGUGACAAAAUAAUAAAGGUAGAGAUGUGUAACCUUCCAAAGAUCAACCUAUAUUAGAAAUCACUUGAUUUGUACAUUUGAUAGAUAAGAAUGAAAAUUACUCAUAAAAGAUAGAAAAAAAGUAAAAUAUGACAAUUUUUUAGCAGGACGUAUUUUUUUAACCUUUGUAUUUUGUUUAUACAAUCAUAAAGUGAAUAUGAACCAGAGAUUUCUAUUAAAUAAUGUAAGCUAAAUAUUUUCAUUAAGUAUAUCCCCAAUUAUAUAAAUAAAUCAAACAUGUAAUGAGUAAAAACAAUUGACUUUAAAUAAUUUAGAGAGAUAUGUAUUGAACAUCAAAAUUAAAUAAAUAUAUACUUAUAUCCUUAAGAACAUAAAAUGUCAUCUUCUAUACUCUAAUAAUUAAACAAUUAAAAUAAGUUAUACAGAUUAAAAUAAACAAGUUAGAGAUCUGUAACCUUCAAAAGACCAACCUAUAUCAGAAAUCACUUGAUAUGUACAUUUGAUAGAUAAGAAAUAAACUUACUCAUAAAAGAUGGAAAAAAAGGAAAAUAUGACAAUUUUUCAGCAGUACAUUUUUUUUACCCUUUGUAUUUGUUUUAUACAAUCAUAAAGUGAUUAUCAAUCAGAGAUUUCUAUUAAAUAAUGUAAGCUAAAUAUUUUUUUUAAGUACAUCCUCAAUUAAAUAAAUCAAUCAAACAUGUAAUGAGUAACAAACUUUGACAUUAAAUAGUUUAGAAAGAUAUGUAUUGAACAUCAAAAUUAAUUAAAUAUAUACUUAUAUCCUUAAGAACAUAAAAUGUCAUCUUCUAUACACUAAUAAUUAAACAAUUAAAAUAAGUUAUACAGAUUAAAAAAUAUGCUAAAAUACUAAUUAUAAGUAGAAAAUGAAAAAGAAAAAAGAAUAACUACAAGAAAAUGAAAAAGAAAAAAAGAAAAUAGAAUAUUUAUAAGAAAAUUAAAAUGAGACACUAUGUAUUAAAGGAAACCAACUCAAGUUAGAGAUGUGUAACCUUCAAAAGAUUAACCUAUAUCAGAAAUCAAUUGUUCCGUACAUUUGAUAGAUAAGAAAUAAAAUUACUCAUAAAAGAUAGAAAAAAAAAGGAAAAUAUGACAAUUUUUCAGCAGUACGUAUUUUUUUACCCUUUGUAUUUUGUUUAUACAAUCAUAAAGUGAUUAUGAACCAGAGAUUUCUAUUAAGUAUUGUAAGCUAAAUAUUUAUAUUAAGUAAAUCCUCAAUUAUAUAAAUCAAUCAAACAUGUAAUGAGUAAUAAACCUUCACAUUAAUUAGUUAAGAAAAAUAUGUAUUGAACAUCAAAAUUAAUUAAAUAUAUACUUAUAUCCUAAACAACAUAAAAUGUCAUCUUCUAUAUUCUAAUAAGUAAACGAUUAACAUAAGUUAUAUAGAUUAAAAAAUAUGCUAAAAUACUAAUUAUAAGGAGAAAGUUAAAAAGAAAAAAAGAAAAAAGAAUAAUUACAAGAAAAUGAAAAAGAAAAAAAGAAAAAAGAAUAAUUACAAGACAAUGAAAAUGCGACCGUAUGUAUUAAAGGAAACCAACCCAAUCAUUUUUCUAGUGUUACAUUAGCACCAACUUUAUUAUUGUGAGAUCCUAAUAAUCCGAACAAACAUCUUAAUCUCAUCAAAACAAUACGAAAAACCCUAUCAUAAU
rnacentral:lncRNA from 1 species